rnacentral:rRNA from 1 species
CGGAGAAAGAACCAACAGGGAUUGCCCUAGUAACGGCGAGUGAAGCGGCAACAGCUCAAAUUUGAAAUCUGGCUCCUUUGGGGUCCGAGUUGUAAUUUGCAGAGGGAGCUUUUGGCGUCGGUCGUGGUCUAAGUUCCUUGGAACAGGACGUCACAGAGGGUGAGAAUCCCGUACGUGGCCGCCGGCCUUCGCCUUGUAAAGCCCCUUCGACGAGUCGAGUUGUUUGGGAAUGCAGCUCUAAAUGGGAGGUAAAUUUCUUCUAAAGCUAAAUACCCGCCAGAGACCGAUAGCGCACAAGUAGAGUGAUCGAAAGAUGAAAAGCACUUUGGAAAGAGAGUGAAAAAGCACGUGAAAUUGUUGAAAGGGAAGCGCUUGCGGCCAGACGUGCCCGCGGUUGAUCAUCCAGGCUCCAGCCUGGUGCACUCCUCCGCGGGCAGGCCAGCAUCAGUUCGGGCGGUCGGAUAAAGGCCUCUAUCACGUACCACCCCUCGGGGUGGCCUUAUAGGGGAGGCGCAACACGGCCAGCCCGGACUGAGGUUCCGCGCAUCUGCUAGGAUGCUGGCGUAAUGGCAGCAAGCGGCCCGUCUUGAAACACGGACCAAGGAGUCUAACAUCUAUGCGAGUGUUUGGGUGUCAAGCCCGAGCGCGCAAUGAAAGUGAACGGAGGUGGGAACCCUUACCGGUGCACCAUCGACCGAUCCUGAUGUCUUCGGAUGGAUUUGAGUAAGAGCAUAGCUGUUGGGACCCGAAAGAUGGUGAACUAUGCCUGAAUAGGGUGAAGCCAGAGGAAACUCUGGUGGAGGCUCGCAGCGGUUCUGACGUGCAAAUCGAUCGUCAAAUUUGGGCAUAGGGGCGAAAG